UACAGAGGGUGCGAGCGUUAAUCGGAAUUACUGGGCGUAAAGCGUGCGUAGGCGGCUUUGUAAGUCGGAUGUGAAAUCCCCGGGCUCAACCUGGGAAUUGCAUUCGAGACUGCAAGGCUUGGGUGCGGAAGAGGGAAGCGGAAUUUCCGGUGUAGCGGUGAAAUGCGUAGAUAUCGGAAGGAACAUCAGUGGCGAAAGCGGCUUCCUGGUCCAGCACCGACGCUCAGGCACGAAAGCGUGGGGAGCAAACAGG
rnacentral:rRNA from 1 species